rnacentral:rRNA from 1 species
GAUGAACGCUGGCGGCGUGCCUAAUACAUGCAAGUCGAGCGAACAGACGAGGAGCUUGCUCCGCUGACGUUAGCGGCGGACGGGUGAGUAACACGUGGAUAACCUACCUAUAAGACUGGGAUAACUUCGGGAAACCGGAGCUAAUACCGGAUAAUAUAUUGAACCGCAUGGUUCAAUAGUGAAAGACGGCUUUGCUGUCACUUAUAGAUGGAUCCGCGCCGUAUUAGCUAGUUGGUAAGGUAACGGCUUACCAAGGCAACGAUGCGUAGCCGACCUGAGAGGGUGAUCGGCCACACUGGAACUGAGACACGGUCCAGACUCCUACGGGAGGCAGCAGUAGGGAAUCUUCCGCAAUGGGCGAAAGCCUGACGGAGCAACGCCGCGUGAGUGAUGACGGUCUUCGGAUCGUAAAACUCUGUUAUUAGGGAAGAACAAAUGUGUAAGUAACUAUGCACGUCUUGACGGUACCUAAUCAGAAAGCCACGGCUAACUACGUG